CCUACGGGAGGCAGCAGUGAGGAAUAUUGGUCAAUGGGCGCGAGCCUGAACCAGCCAAGUAGCGUGCAGGAUGACUGCCCUACGGGUUGUAAACUUCUUUUGUAAGGGAAUAAACUGAGGCACGUGUGCCUUUUUGUAUGUACUUUAUGAAUAAGGAUCGGCUAACUCCGUGCCAGCAGCCGCGGUAAUACGGAGGAUCCGAGCGUUAUCCGGAUUUAUUGGGUUUAAAGGGUGCGUAGAUGGGUUGUUAAGUCAGUUGUGAAAGUUUGCGGCUCAACCGUAAAAUUGCAAUUGAUACUGGCAGUCUUGAGUACAGUUGAGGUAGGCGGAAUGCGUGGUGUAGCGGUGAAAUGCUUAGAGAUCACGAAGAACACCGAUUGCGAAGGCAGCUUACUAAACUGCCACUGACAUUGAUGCUCGAAAGUGUGGGUAGCAAACAGGAUUAGAUACCCCAGUAGUC
rnacentral:rRNA from 1 species